UACACACAGUAACGCACACUAUACACAUUACACGCGCAGUUGUAGAAUCCGAUCCCUAUUUUUCUGGGUCAUCCUUCUUUUUCUUUGGGUUGCUUUCCAGCUUCUUCUUUCAGCAUCCCAGGAAUCAAACCGGUCAUCUCGUCAUCACUACAUCGGCACAGAGAGUGAGUGGGGGAGUAAGUGAGGUUCGUUUCUCAGAUCUCAACGUCUUGGGUGUGUUUCUUCAUCGUCAUCGCUUCCUACACAUAAAAAUGGGGAAAUUGAUUUUGUUGCAAAACCAAUUUGCAGGACUUUCUGUGGUGAGUACUGCUGGAAGACCAAACAUGAGCCUGGCAUGUCUUGUAUGCCAUAGCGUAGAAAGUCCAUCUCAUUCUUUUAGGAGUUACUCCGUUUCAAGUUCAGAUAACGAGGGAAGAUGUUCUGCAAUUGCCAACUGUUUGACCAGGAAGGCAUCUCUUCCGCACACUGCAGCAAACAGUUCUAUUACAUCGUCUAAGGUGACCCCACAACCAACAAUUCCAGGUAAUGGAGUCACGAGCACCCCACGACUGGUUCGGAGCCAUGCUGUCAGAAGGGACCUCGUGAGAGACUGGAAUUUUGACCAAGUGCUUAUGGAGCGGUAGUCUACAAAUUAGAGUAGGAGCACUGUGCUCUUGCUUGGCGGAGUGAGACAAGAGAGCUUUGAACUAUUCUAUUUUCUUCGCGCUCUUCUGUUUUGGGUGCCGUUGAACUCUUUCCUGUAAUGAAGGGAAAGAGAACAAGGUGGAAUUUGGAGAUAGUUAAAACUAGAGUAAGGGUGGAAUUAUGAGAUUGUGCAGUCACUUCAAGUAGCAACCAUGUGGAAUUGGAAUUGACAGCAUUUGUUACCACUUCCUGAACUUUGCAAUGGAUGAAAGAGUCUCCUUUAUAUUGUUGUCUUGCAAGAUUUUACAGCUGCAACAUACUUUGCCUCAGUAUUGAAUUAUACACUUGUGCAAUGGUGCAAUUCAUGUUCCAUUAUUGAGGUUAAUUGGUCGCACAAUUUUUAUUUAUUUAUUAUUUUUUUUUGGGUUGACGAUGGUGGUAUCGGACCAUAAUUCAUCAUUGGACACAUGUAAUCCCCGACCUUGACAUUUUGAGGUGAAAGUCUUUGCCAUUGGAUUAUCCUUGCAUUAUGUACGAGUGCUUUCAUGGCACUGCUUUUGUCAACCCUCUAUUCUGCAUCAAUACUGUACCACUUGUUAUUUAUUUAUUUAUUUAUUUAAUUGAAACAAUACUGUACCACUUUGUAGCUGAAUGGCAUCAUACAAAAUAGCCUUCCAGCUGGUCA